AGAGUUUGAUCCUGGCUCAGGAUGAACGCUGGCGGCGUGCCUAAUACAUGCAAGUCGAGCGAGCUUGCCUAGAUGAUUUUAGUGCUUGCACUAAAUGAAACUAGAUACAAGCGAGCGGCGGACGGGUGAGUAACACGUGGGCAACCUGCCCAAAAGAGGGGGAUAACACUUGGAAACAGGUGCUAAUACCGCAUAACCAUAGUUACCGCAUGGUAACUAUGUAAAAGGUGGCUAUGCUACCGCUUUUGGAUGGGCCCGCGGCGCAUUAGCUAGUUGGUGAGGUAAAGGCUUACCAAGGCAAUGAUGCGUAGCCGAACUGAGAGGUUGAUCGGCCACAUUGGGACUGAGACACGGCCCAAACUCCUACGGGAGGCAGCAGUGGGGAAUAUUGCACAAUGGACGCAAGUCUGAUGGAGCAACGCCGCGUGAGUGAAGAAGGCUUUCGGGUCGUAAAACUCUGUUGUUGGAGAAGAACGUGCGUGAGAGUAACUGUUGUCGGCGUGACGGUAUCCAACCAGAAAGCCACGGCUAACUACGUGCCAGCAGCCGCGGUAAUACGUAGGUGGCAAGCGUUAUCCGGAUUUAUUGGGCGUAAAGCGAGCGCAGGCGGUUUUUUAAGUCUGAUGUGAAAGCCCUCGGCUUAACCGAGGAAGUGCAUCGGAAACUGGGAAACUUGAGUGCAGAAGAGGACAGUGGAACUCCAUGUGUAGCGGUGAAAUGCGUAGAGAUUAGGAAGAACACCAGUGGCGAAGGCGACUUUCUGGACUGUAACUGACGCUGAGGCUCGAAAGCGUGGGGAGCAAACAGGAUUAGAUACCCUGGUAGUCCAUGCCGUAAACGAUGAAUGCUAGGUGUUGGAGGGUUUCCGCCCUUCAGUGCCGCAGCUAACGCAUUAAGCAUUCCGCCUGGGGAGUACGACCGCAAGGUUGAAACUCAAAGGAAUUGACGGGGGCCCGCACAAGCGGUGGAGCAUGUGGUUUAAUUCGAAGCAACGCGAAGAACCUUACCAGGUCUUGACAUCCUUUGACCACUCUAGAGAUAGAGCUUCCCCUUCGGGGACAGAAUGACAGGUGGUGCAUGGUUGUCGUCAGCUCGUGUUGGGAGAUGUUGGGUUAAGUCCCGCAACGAGCGCAACCCUUAUUGUUAGUUGCCAGCAUUAAGUUGGGCACUCUAGCAAGACUGCCGGUGACAAACCGGAGGAAGGUGGGGAUGACGUCAAAUCAUCAUGCCCCUUAUGACCUGGGCUACACACGUGCUACAAUGGACGGUACAACGAGAAGCGAACCUGCGAAGGCAAGCGGAUCUCUUAAAGCUGUUCUCAGUUCGGACUGUAGGCUGCAACUCGCCUACACGAAGCUGGAAUCGCUAGUAAUCGCGGAUCAGCACGCCGCGGUGAAUACGUUCCCGGGCCUUGUACACACCGCCCGUCA
rnacentral:rRNA from 1 species